rnacentral:rRNA from 1 species
AGUGAACGCUGGCGGUAGGCCUAACACAUGCAAGUCGAACGGCAGCACAGGAGAGCUUGCUCUCUGGGUGGCGAGUGGCGGACGGGUGAGGAAUACAUCGGAAUCUACUCUGUCGUGGGGGAUAACGUAGGGAAACUUACGCUAAUACCGCAUACGACCUACGGGUGAAAGCAGGGGACCUUCGGGCCUUGCGCGAUUGAAUGAGCCGAUGGCGGAUUAGCUAGUUGGCGGGGUAAAGGCCCACCAAGGCAACGAUCCGUAGCUGGUCUGAGAGGAUGAUCAGCCACACUGGAACUGAGACACGGUCCAGACUCCUACGGGAGGCAGCAGUGGGGAAUAUUGGACAAUGGGCGCAAGCCUGAUCCAGCCAUACCGCGUGGGUGAAGAAGGCCUUCGGGUUGUAAAGCCCUUUUGUUGGGAAAGAAAUCCAGCUGGCUAAUACCCGGUUGGGAUGACGGUACCCAAAGAAUAAGCGCCGGCUAACUUCGUGCCAGCCGCCGCGGUAA